AUUGAACGCUGGCGGCAGGCUUAACACAUGCAAGUCGAACGGUAACAGGCCGCAAGGUGCUGACGAGUGGCGAACGGGUGAGUAAUGCAUCGGAACGUGCCCAGUCGUGGGGGAUAACGCAGCGAAAGCUGCGCUAAUACCGCAUACGAUCUAUGGAUGAAAGCGGGGGACCGUAAGGCCUCGCGCGAUUGGAGCGGCCGAUGUCAGAUUAGGUAGUUGGUGGGGUAAAGGCUCACCAAGCCAACGAUCUGUAGCUGGUCUGAGAGGACGACCAGCCACACUGGGACUGAGACACGGCCCAGACUCCUACGGGAGGCAGCAGUGGGGAAUUUUGGACAAUGGGCGCAAGCCUGAUCCAGCAAUGCCGCGUGCAGGAAGAAGGCCUUCGGGUUGUAAACUGCUUUUGUACGGAACGAAACGGCUCUCACUAAUACUGGGGGCUAAUGACGGUACCGUAAGAAUUAGCACCGGCUAACUACGUGCCAGCAGCCGCGGUAAAAC
rnacentral:rRNA from 1 species